UACGUAGGGGGCAAGCGUUUGUCCGGAUUUAUUGGGCGUAAAGAGCGUGUAGGCGGCUUUACAGGUCCGUUGUGAAAACUCGAGGCUCAACCUCGAGACGUCGAUGGAAGCCAUCUGGCUAGAGUCCGGAAGAGGAGAGUGGAAUUCCUGGUGUAGCGGUGAAAUGCGCAGAUAUCAGGAGGAACACCAUGGCGAAGGCAGCUCGCUGGAACGGUACUGACGCUGAGGCGCGAAAGCGUGGGGAGCGAACAGG
rnacentral:rRNA from 1 species